rnacentral:rRNA from 1 species
GACGGAGGAUGCAAGCGUUAUCCGGAAUGAUUGGGCGUAAAGCGUCCGCAGGUGGCAGUUCAAGUCUGCUGUCAAAGACCGGGGCUUAACUUCGGAAAGGCAGUGGAAACUGAACAGCUAGAGUAUGGUAGGGGCAGAGGGAAUUCCUGGUGUAGCGGUGAAAUGCGUAGAGAUCAGGAAGAACAUCGGUGGCGAAGGCGCUCUGCUGGGCCUGCACUGACACUGAGGGACGAAAGCCAGGGGAGCAAACGGG